rnacentral:rRNA from 1 species
GUGGCUUCCGGAGCUAACGCGUUAAGUCGACCGCCUGGGGAGUACGGCCGCAAGGUUAAAACUCAAAUGAAUUGACGGGGGCCCGCACAAGCGGUGGAGCAUGUGGUUUAAUUCGAUGCAACGCGAAGAACCUUACCUGGUCUUGACAUCCACGGAAGUUUUCAGAGAUGAGAAUGUGCCUUCGGGAACCGUGAGACAGGUGCUGCAUGGCUGUCGUCAGCUCGUGUUGUGAAAUGUUGGGUUAAGUCCCGCAACGAGCGCAACCCUUAUCCUUUGUUGCCAGCGGUCCGGCCGGGAACUCAAAGGAGACUGCCAGUGAUAAACUGGAGGAAGGUGGGGAUGACGUCAAGUCAUCAUGGCCCUUACGAGUAGGGCUACACACGUGCUACAAUGGCAUAUACAAAGAGAAGCGACCUCGCGAGAGCAAGCGGACCUCAUAAAGUAUGUCGUAGUCCGGAUUGGAGUCUGCAACUCGACUCCAUGAAGUCGGAAUCGCUAGUAAUCGUGGAUCAGAAUGCCACGGUGAAUACGUUCCCGGGCCUUGUACACACCGCCCGUCACACCAUGGGAGUGGGUUGCAAAAGAAGUAGGUAGCUUAACCUUCGGGAGGGCGCUUACCACUUUGUGAUUCAUGACUGGGGUGAAGUCGUAACAAGGUAACCGUAGGGGAACCUGCGGUUG